rnacentral:rRNA from 1 species
CAUCUUUUUAAGGUUUUGAUUUAAAAUAUAAUCUGCCCACUGAAAAUUUAAAUGGCCGCGGUAAUUUGACUGUGCAAAGGUAGCAUAAUAAAUAGUUUCUUAAUUGGGAACUGGUAUGAAUGAUUGGACAAGGAAAAAGCUGUCUACAAUUAAAUUAAAAUUUAAUUUUUCUUUUUAGUUAAAAGACUAAAAUUUAGUUAAAAGACAAGAAGACCCUAUAGAAUUUUAUUUUAUUUUUAUUUAGUAAAUUAGUAAAGAUUUUGGUUGGGGUGGUCACAGGAAAUAAACUCUUGUUUUUUAAGCAUUAAUAUUUGUAAUUAUGAAUUUAUUUUAUAUAAUAGAAGAAUUACCUUAGGGAUAACAGCGUAAUUUUAUUUUUGAGAUCUUAUUGAAAAUAAAGAUUUCGACCUCGAUGUUGGAUUAAAAUAAAUAUUUGGUGAAGAAGCUAAAUUAUUGAGUCUGUUCGACUUUUAAAAUUUUACAUGAUCUGAGU